rnacentral:misc_RNA from 1 species
ACAAAUCCACGUGGUCGGGUUGGGUCGCGGGGUGCAUGCACGCUGCCGUCCAAUCGCGACGCACAUCCGUUCCGUGUGCACGUUCGCUCUGCACACUGGCACAUUUCUGCGAAUGUCUGAUCCAUCCGUGAAUUAUAAUAAU